GACGAAGGUGGCGAGCGUUGUUCGGAAUCACUGGGCAUAAAGCGCACGUAGGCGGUGGCGUAAGUCGGGUGUGAAAUCCCUCGGCCUAACCGAGGAACUGCGCCCGAUACUGCGUUGCUUGAGGACCAAAGGGGUGCAUGGAAUUUCCGGUGGAGCGGUGAAAUGCGUUGAUAUCGGAAGGAACGUCGGCGGCGAAAGCGGUGCACUGGUUGGUCUCUGACGCUGAGGUGCGAAAGUCAGGGGAGCAAACGGG
rnacentral:rRNA from 1 species